UCCUAUAAGGAGAUAAGAUCCCUUGAAGACUACAAGGUAGAUAGGACAGAGGUGGAAGUGUAGUAAUACAUGUAGCUGACUGUUACUAAUAGAUCGAAGGCUUAACCAAA
rnacentral:rRNA from 1 species